rnacentral:tRNA from 1 species
GCAGGUGUGAUGUAAUCGGCAACAUGAGGUUUUCGUACAGCCUUCUUACGGGUUCAAUUCCUGUCGCCUGCU